rfam:Babesia sp. Xinjiang scaffold2, whole genome shotgun sequence.
AAAAAUAUGAUGAUGUAUGUUUCUACUAAAUCGCGACGGUCUUCUGACUCUGCUGGAGAGGGUAGAACUUACUGAUUUC